UUGCUGUAAUCGUUUGCUACUUGUGAUCCCAUUUGAGAUAUUUAAUGCUGAUCUGUGCUUUGCCUUGGCUUUCCGCUCUGUGUUUUCCUGUCUUGCUUUUAUGUUUUUGUUGUCCUGCAAUCCCUCAUUUCUUCGUUUGCUUUGUGUGUUUUUUUUCUCACUCAUGCUUGUUGUUGUCUGCACUUGGUUUUGAUUGCAAAAAAAAAAAAAAAACAGAACAAAACACACAAAAAAACAAAACAAAACCCAAACUGUGGGGCCCAAAAAUCUGCGUGGCCUUGGUGACCUGCACUCUGCGCCCGCCCCCGCUUGGCUGCUGUGGUUGCGGCUUCGCUGCUGGGCUUGGGCUGUGCUGUGGGGGAAGCGCUCACCCCAGCACCGGCUUCUUGCCCGCAGGUUUCAUUUCUGUGAGACGUGUUUCAGUGCAAUCCAAGGGGAGAGCGUUUCUUUGGGGGAUGACCCUUCCCAGCCUCAAACUACGAUAAAUAAAGAACAAUUUUCCAAAAGAAAAAAUGACACACUGGAUCCUGAACUGUUUGUUGAAUGUAAAGAGUGUGGCAGGAAGAUGCAUCAGAUUUGUGUACUUCAUCAUGAGGUCAUCUGGCCCUCUGGGUGAGGAAUAUACCAAUAUUUUCUCUAGGAUUUUAUCACAGAGUUUUUACAGAUUGCUCUGGAGAUUGGGAAAAGUUCAUUAAAAUCCAAUUUUAAAACAUGAAAUAACCUAGAAUUCAAAAAUAAAAAUAGAGGGAAGUGGACUUGGCCCAGAGGAUAGAGCGUCCGUCUACCACAUGGGAGGUCUGUGGUUCAAACCCCGGGCCUCCUUGACCCGUGUGGAGCUGGCCCAUGCGCAGUGCUGAUGUGCACAAGGAAUGCCGUGCCACGCAGGGGUGUCCCCCACAUAGGGGAGCCCCAUGCGCAAGGAGUGCGCCCCGUAAGGAGAGCCGCCCAGCGCGAAAGAAAGUGCAGGCUGUCCAGGAAUGGUGCUGCACACAUGGAGAGCUGACACAAGAUGAUGCAACAUCAAAGAGAUACGGAUUCCCGUGCAAAUGGACACAGAGAACAGACAACUGGGGCAGGGGAAGGGAUCUUUAAAAAAAAAAACAACAAAUAAAAAUAGACCUCUCUCCAGGAUUGAACCCCAUAUGUUGGAGGCAGGUGCUCAACCACCGAGCUGUACCUGCUCCCCUACCCCUUUCUCUUAUUGUUUUAACCUGUACAUGUCUUGUAUUAUGCUUUUCCCCCCACUUAAUGGCAUAUCAUUUUGGCUUUUUCCACAAGUUUUCUUAGUUUUGAAUGAAUAUAUGACUGCAUGGACAUGUAAUUAUAAACAGACAUUUUGAUGUUUUUGUGGGUUUUUUUCCUAAUUUUACAGUUUUACUAUAAAAGUGAAAUGCUUUUGAAAGAUUUAACA
rnacentral:lncRNA from 1 species